rnacentral:lncRNA from 1 species
AUGCGUGGGCACAUGUGUGUGCACGCGUGGCUGAGAUACUACCGUGGCUCCCUGUGUCCCUGUGUGUGCCCCUGGGCACCACUGUGUGCUCGUCUGGAAGCAUGCUCCGAGGCCAUACACCUGUGUGUCCAGGUAGGCUCUGUGUGCACUUGUGUGUGCAUGCCUGGGUGUGUAUGCACACGCGUGGACCUCACUGUGACGCACUCACCAGAAAGCUCCACCAAGGAACAACGCAGAGGCUUCACUCUGGAUGACAAACGAGGAGGGGAGAGGCCUGCCCUGCCUGGACUCCGGGUGGGCAGAGCUGCUCGGUGCUGUGGCUCGAGGAGGAGGGUGAUUCAGAGAACAGGUGCUGCCUUGGAGAAAGAGAAGGGCAAGGCGGAAAGAUCAUAGGAAGGGCGGAGACGCAGGAGGUUCGCCCCCCCCCGCGCCCCAAAGGGCGCCAGGCAGGGCAGCUGUGCCCUUCUAUGGGUAGGCCUGAGAGAGGGCAAGGGCGGUGGGGGGAGUGGGGGGGACAGGGCUGGCGCAGCCCAUCGGCUGCAGGUCGGCUGGGGACAGCCACAGUCACGGAAUCUUCCUUCCUUCGGUUGCCCCAGGAUCUCUCCCUGAAGCUGGGGUUUGAAUCCCUUGUCCCAGCUGUGCGACCCCUUGGUUUCACUUAGCCCUCCACGCCUCCCUGGGGUGCUGGACCCCGUCCCGGGCUUCUGGGUCCUUCAAGGCCUGCGUGUCCCUCGGAGCGCCACCAGGAGGCGCCCCGCACCUGCUGGGCCCUGGGGAGCCUGGGGCGCGGCCGGGUCG